CGAAGGGGGCUAGCGUUGUUCGGAAUUACUGGGAGUAAAGCGCGCGCAGGCGGUCCUUUAAGUCGGGGGUGAAAGCCCAGAGCUCAACUCUGGAACUGCCUUCGAAACUAGAGGACUUGGGUACGGGAGAGGUGAGUGGAAUUCCGGGUGGAGCGGUGAAAUGCGUAGAGAUCCGGAGGAACACCGACGGCGUAGGCAGCGCCCUGGACGACACCUGACGCUGAGGCACGAAAGCUGGGGGAGCGAACAGG
rnacentral:rRNA from 1 species